CCUACGGGGGGCUGCAGUGGGGAAUAUUGCACAAUGGGGGAAACCCUGAUGCAGCAACGCCGCGUGAGCGAUGAAGGCCUUCGGGUCGUAAAGCUCUGUCCUAAGGGAAGAAUACUGACGGUACCUUAGGAGGAAGCCCCGGCUAACUACGUGCCAGCAGCCGCGGUAAUACGUAGGGGGCGAGCGUUAUCCGGAAUCACUGGGCGUAAAGGGUGCGUAGGUGGUCCUGCAAGUCAGGAGUUAAAUCCCUCGGCUCAACCGAGGUCAGCUCUUGAAACUGUAGGGCUUGAGUGCAGGAGAGGAGAGCGGAAUUCCUAGUGUAGCGGUGAAAUGCGUAGAGAUGUGGAGGAACACCAGUGGCGAAGGCGGCUUUCUGGUCUGUAACUGACGCUGAGGCGCGAAAGCGUGGGGAGCAAACAGGAUUAGAUACCCCAGUAGUC
rnacentral:rRNA from 1 species